AUUGAACGCUGGCGGCAGGCCUAACACAUGCAAGUCGAACGAGUGGCGGACGGGUGAGUAAUGUAUGGUAAACUGCCUGAUGGAGGGGGGUAACCACUGGAAACGGUCGCUAAUACCGCCUACCAUCGGAUGAGCCCAUAUGGGAUUAGCUGGUCUGUGGGGUAAAGGCUCACCUAGGCGACGAUCCCUAGCUGGUCUGAGAGGUUGACGAGCCACACUGGAACUGAGAAACGUCCCAGACUCCCACGGGAGGCAGCAGUGGGGAAUUUUGCACAAUGGGCGCAAUCCUGAGGCAGCCAUGCCGCGUGUAGGAAUAAGGCCUUCGGGUUGUAAAGUACUUUCAGCGGGGAGGCGUUACCGGCAGAAGAAGCACCGGCUAACUCCGUGCCAGCAGCCGCGGUAAUAC
rnacentral:rRNA from 1 species